CCCUUAGAUGUCCUGGGCCGCACGCGCGCUACACUGAUGCAUUCAACGAGUUUUACCUUGGCCGAGAGGCCUGGGCAAUCUUUUAAACCUGCAUCGUGAUAGGGAUAGAUUAUUGCAAUUAUUAAUCUUGAACGAGGAAUUCCUAGUAAACGCAAAUCAUCAAUCUGCAUUGAUUACGUCCCUGCCCUUUGUACACACCGCCCGUCGCACCUACCGAUUGGAUGGUCCGGUGAAGCCUCGGGAUUGUGGUUCUUGCCGCUUUAUUGUGGCGUGACCGCGAGAACUUGUCUAAACCUUAUCAUCUAGAGGAAGGUGAAGUCGUAACA
rnacentral:rRNA from 1 species